rnacentral:rRNA from 1 species
CGAAGGGUGCAAGCGUUACUCGGAAUUACUGGGCGUAAAGCGUGCGUAGGUGGUGAGUUAAGUCUGUCGUGAAAGCCCCGGGCUCAACCUGGGAAUGGCGAUGGAUACUGGCUCGCUAGAGUGCGGUAGAGGAGAGUGGAAUUCCCGGUGUAGCAGUGAAAUGCGUAGAGAUCGGGAGGAACAUCAGUUGCGAAGGCGGCUCUCUGGACCAGCACUGACACUGAGGCACGAAAGCGUGGGGAGCAAACAGGAUUAGAUACCCUGGUAGUCCACGCCCUAAACGAUGCGAACUGGACGUUGGGAGCAAUUAGGCUCUCAGUGUCGAAGCUAACGCGUUAAGUUCGCCGCCUGGGGAGUACGGUCACAAGACUG